rnacentral:rRNA from 1 species
UAGGGAAUCUUGCGCAAUGGGCGAAAGCCUGACGCAGCCAUGCCGCGUGAAUGAUGAAGGUCUUAGGAUUGUAAAAUUCUUUCAGCAGGGAAGAUAAUGACUGUACCUGCAGAAGAAGCCCCGGCUAACUUCGUGCCAGCAGCCGCGGUAAUACGAAGGGGGCUAGCGUUGCUCGGAAUUACUGGGCGUAAAGGGCGCGUAGGCGGGUGCUUAAGUCAGAGGUUAAAUCCCAGGGCUCAACCCUGGAACUGCCUUUGAUACUGGGCACCUUGAGUAUGGGAGAGGUGAGUGGAACUCCGAGUGUAGAGGUGAAAUUCGUAGAUAUUCGGAAGAACACCAGUGGCGAAGGCGACUCACUGGCCCAUUACUGACGCUGAGGCGCGAAAGCGUGGGGAGCAAACAG